rnacentral:rRNA from 1 species
AUGACUAGGGAUAACCUUAGGAAGAGACACAUCAUCAAACCCCUUAAUUGUGUUUACUGCUUGGAACAAGAGUCUUGCUCUCACCUAUUUUUUGAAUGUAUAGUUGCUAAACAUCUCUGGGCCCACAUUGAGGAAUAUUUCUCUAGUCAGAUUGGCUUAUCCUUCGAAUCUAUCGCCAGAUUCUGGAUUGCUACCAAAAAGUGCUCAGUUUUAAACACUGUUAGCUCAGCUGUCCUUUGGUGCCUCUAGAAAUAUAGAAAUGCUAUGAUUUUCAGUAACACCUCCUGGAUUUCCAUUCCGCAGGUCUUGAGAUUGAUCCGGAACAUGGUGAGGAACUAGGCGAUUCUCUUCUCCGGAUCGGACAAGGACAAGUUGAUGAGCUUCGUGGAAACCCUAACAAGAUCCCUCUAG